CUAUACAUGCAUGAUUCCCAUGCUUGAAUCGCUUUCUCAAGUGGAUGUGAUUACAAUCUCAAGUUAAAUCAUAAAUUUCUGGUUGAUCAAACUACCAUGUGGUUGAUGUGUCGACACUUACUAAUCUAAAGACCACGUUGUUUUUUUGGCGCAACAACCACCAUACAAAUAAUUGGAUCUAACAAUUAUGUCCACCAAUUAAACAAAUUGUAAAUCAAAACAUCGAUUUAUUUGCAAUCGUAAAAAUUAUAAACGAAAGAAUAUACUUUUUAUAUUAAAAAGAAACUUUAUCCCGAUACAAAAUAA